GGUAUUGAAAUAAGAUUUUAAAUGAGUGCUAAGAGAAUGAUUAAACAAUUAAAAGCUUUCUUUAAUUAAAAAAUUAAAUUUAAUUUUUUUAGUGCAAAAGCAAAAAUAAAAUUUAGGGACAAGAAGACCCUAUGAAUUUUUAUUGUUAAUAAUUAAAAUUUAAGUUAUUAAUAAUUUAAUUGGGGCGAUAAAAAAAGAAUAAGUAUCUUUUUAGUUAUAAAAUAAGUUCCGUUUUUAGCGAUUAAAUGAAAUAAAUACUCUAGGGAUAACAGCGUAAUAAUUUUGGAUAGUUCAUAUAGAUAAAAUAGUUUACGACCUCGAUGUUGGAUUAGGAUUCUUUUUUGGUGAAGAA
rnacentral:rRNA from 1 species